GGUAAAAUGGCUGAAUAAGCAUUAGGCUGUAAAUCUAAAGAUGGAGGUCUANGUCCUCCUUUUACCA
rnacentral:tRNA from 1 species